GAGACAGCAGCAGCCGCGGUAAUACGUAGGUCCCGAGCGUUGUCCGGAUUUAUUGGGCGUAAAGCGAGCGCAGGCGGUUAGAUAAGUCUGAAGUUAAAGGCUGUGGCUUAACCAUAGUACGCUUUGGAAACUGUUUAACUUGAGUGCAAGAGGGGAGAGUGGAAUUCCAUGUGUAGCGGUGAAAUGCGUAGAUAUAUGGAGGAACACCGGUGGCGAAAGCGGCUCUCUGGCUUGUAACUGACGCUGAGGCUCGAAAGCGUGGGGAGCAAACAGGAUUAGAGACCCCUGUAGUCCCUGUCUCUUAUACA
rnacentral:rRNA from 1 species